ensembl:lncRNA
GUAAAGUAACUAUUAUUUUUAUAUUUAUUUAUCGGACUUUUGGUUUUUAUUAUACUAGUACAUGUUUUCAGUACAUGAAGUUUACAGUCAUCUUGAAGAGUACACGUACAUAAUACAGUUUUUCUUCUUUAAAUCUCCUUCCCUUUUCCACCUCCCUCCUCCCUCUGUCACUAAAUUCCCAUUUCCUAUUUUACCUCUUAUUGUUAUUAUUCUUAACUCAUGUUUAUGAAACAUAAUCUUUAUAUUGAUUAUUAUUAUUAUUAUUCUAUUUACUUCCCCACCCCUUCUUCCCUCUCUAUAGUCUCCUGGACUCCUUCCCAUUUGCAAGAGAUUUAUCCCCUUGUUUCCUUCUAUCCAUCCUUUAUCAUGCUCUUUAUUUGUAUUUUGCCUUACUAAAAUGAGAAAUACCAUGCACUAUUUAAACUUGUUUUUCAUAUUUAUUUCAUUCAACACUGGAUUUUCCAGGUGCAUCCAUUUUCCUAAAAGUGUCCCAAAUUUAUCGUUCUUUAUAGUUGAGUAGUAUUCUAUUAUGUAUAGAUAACAUUUUCUUUAUCCAUUCAUCAUUGAUGGGUAUACUGACUGCUUCCAGCAUUUAGCUAUUAUUAAUUGUGGUAUUAUAAAUAUUGGAGAAUCCUGAUAUUCUGAAAAAUACAUUUGGCGACAAAAAUACAAAAUAUCUGAAAGGACAUUAAAAAGUAUUUAUAUCUAGUCUGUGAAUAUUCUCUAUAUUUAUAUGAAGGUUUUUUCCUUGUUGACUCAGAAAUUUUGACCCUAACCCAAAGAUUGAAGCCUGUGAAAUUAUUCAAAGACUGGAUUUAUGCAGUAUGUAAGUUCCUAGAAGGAAGGGCUAUGCUGUUUGAAAUUCUGGAAAUGUUUCAUAAAUUGUUACAAACAAAACCUCUCCUCUCCUAUCCUAGCGUAUUUUGCCAUAUAAUAAGCUUAAAACAGAUGAAAAAACUCAGAAUUGAUUUAGAAAUAUAUUAGAUCAGGAUGACAUCAGCAAACCAGAAAUCCUCAAUGCCUCUUUCCCCAUAGAAACAUUAACAUAAACAAUAAAAAGAGAAACAAAAAUCAAAAUAUAGAGACUAAAUGAUUCUCUAGAAACUAUGAAACUAGUCAAAGACCAACAGCAACUGAGUGAACGACCAAUGCAAGAGAAAACAAUAUUCAAUACAGUAGGCAACUCCAUGGCACUUUUACUUUCCCUUGCUUUAUAUCUAUCUAUCUAUCUAUCUAUCUAUCUAUCUAUCUAUCUAUCUAUUUAUUUAUUUACUUUUUGGUACCAGGGAUCGAACUCAGGUCCUUGCAUUUGUGAGGCAGGCGGUGGAACCACUGAGCUAAAUGCCCAGCCUUUCCCUUGCUUUAUAUUCUCCUGAGGUCAUAGCCUGUUCAGGAGGAAGCCCAGUUCUUGCUUCCCUCCCAUGGGCCAAAGGAGCAGAGCAGAAUUUAUUUACAGUGUUGUAACCUCAGCAAAUGCCCUGCUAAUUAGCAUAAAUCUUUCAUACCAAUCUAUAAAAAGUGAGACAGAUGGCUGUUUUUGUAAUGGUCAAUUUUCAACAAAAAAUCAGAAGACGUACAGACAGAAAUACAUGGCCCAUUAAAAUCAGCAAUACAAGUCUCCAGAAACUGUCUUUUAAGAAAUAUAUGCACUGGAUUUACUAGACAGGUAUUUUUGAAGGAGAAUUCAGACAAAGAACUAAAGGAAAUCAGGGAAGCAUUAUAUAAUCAAAAUGAGAACACCAAAAAAAGAGAUAUGAAUUAUAACAGGAUUUUAAUUCAGAACUAAAAAAUGUAGUAAUUGAAUCAAAAAUUUCACUAGAUGGAUUCAAUAGCACACUUUAACAAGCAGAAGAAAGACUACAGUCUUGAAAAGAGGUCAUUUGAAAUUAUAGUGUGGAGUAAAAUGAAUAAAGUGAGAAAAACCUAUCAAGCAGGUCAAACCAUCAAGCAGGUCAGUUGAUAUAUGUAAGAGCCCCAGAAAAAUAAGAGACAGUAAAGGGAGUUGACAGAUCAUUUAAAUUAAUAAUAGGUGAAAAUUUCCCAAAUUUGAGGAAAGAUACAGAUCUACAAAUCCUAGAAGAGUUUUGGUGAACCUUUUAGAGACUGAGUGCCCUAACUGCAACCCUAAACCCACUUAUGUAUCACAAAGUGCCAACACUGCAAUUAAACUUGAAUACUGAGAUUUCGGUUUAGCAAAAAUGAUACAUUAACAUCUUUUGCCUUAAAAGAAAAACACAAUGACAGCUUUCAGUGAUACAAACAGCUUUUUAUUGAAAGAAACUUUGCAGACCAGAAGGCAGUGGGAUGUUGCAUUUUAAUUGCUGAAAUAAGAAUUGCUGUCAACUGAGAAUUCUGUAUCCAGCAAAACUGUGUUUCACUGACAAAGAAGAAAUGAAGACAUCUCCAGGAAAACAAAAGCUGAGGGAGUUAAUUGCUGCUAGGCAUUCCCUUGGAGAAAUGGUAAAUGCAGCUCUUCAAUUUGAAAUGGAAGAACGCUAAAGAGUGAUGCAAAGGCAUGCAAAAAUAUAGUUAUCUGAGUAAACAUAAAUCUAUGGAUCAAUACACUUUUUUAAAAGGUAUUAUUAUAAUGCUGAUUGACAACUUCACUUUCUAUUUUCAAUAAGAUUUAAAAACAAAAGCAUAAACAUAGCUAUUAAUCUAGCUUAACAGGUACACAAAUAUAAAGAUAUAAUUUGUGACACUAAUAACAUAGUGUUUGUGGGGGAGUGAAGCUGUAAAGGAAUAGAAUUUCUUUAUGCAAAUGAAAUUAAUUGGCUAUCAUAAAAUAGUGUUAUAACUUCAUGAUGUUAGAUGUAAUCCCUGUGGUAAGUACAAAGAAAGUAUCUAUUGCAAAUACACAAAAGGGAAUGAAAAGGGAAUCAAAACAUGUCACUGCAGAAAACUGACUAAAUAAAAGCAAUAAUGGAGAUAGUGAGGGACAAACAAAGUAUCAGACACACAGAAAACAAAUAACAAAAUUGCUAAAAUAAGUCUUUUCCUACUAAUGGUUAGUUUAAAUGUAAAUGGAUUAAACUCACCAGAUCAAAGAACAGAGAUUGGCAGAAUGGAUUUUAAAAAAUCAAGAUUCAGCUGUGUAUUAUUUGCAGAGCUUUGCUUUAGAUCCAAGAACAUGCCUAAAUAGAAAGUGAAAGAAUGGAAAGAAUAUUCCAUGCAAAAAGUAAUUGAAAGAGAGGAGAGGUGGCUAUCCUAACAUAACACAAAAUACAUUUUAAGCAAAAAGCCAUUAAAACAGUCAAAGAAAAAUAUUAUAUAUGAUAAAAGGGUCAUUUCACCAAGAAGAUACAAUCAUUAUGAAUAUAAAUGCACCCAAAAUCAGAACUCCAAAAUAUGCAGUAAUACUUUGAUUCUGGAAUGCUUCUGUUUGUAAACAAUUCAGUUCAUAAACAAAGUGUUUGGCAAAAUUUUGCUUCUGUUUUCAAACUCCACAUUCGGUGACAAACCUGACUAUGCCUAUCUUCCUCACAUGAACAAAAAAGUAGCUAUCUUCCCUAAAUUGGAAUACCAAUUAAAUUCAUAAACCAACAUGCUACUGUACUAAGAAAUACUGUCAGAAUUGAAGGGAGAAAUUGGCAGCUUUAUAAUAAUAGGAAAUUUUAAUACAUAACUCAUGAUGAUGAAUGGAACAACUAAAUAAAAGAUUAACAAGUAAACAAAAGAUUAUGAACAAUCCUGCAUAGUCAUUGGCUCUAACCGGCAUAUGCAGAACUCUCCAUCCAACAACAGCAGAAUAGAAUAUAUGCUUUUUUCCCAAAUGUACACAGAACAUUCUCCAGGAGAGACUACAUGUUAGGCUAAAAAUAAUUUUUAAUACAUUUUAAAAGAAUGAAUGAUACAAACUAUCUUGUAUUGAUCACAAUAGAGUGAAACUGGAAAUCAACUUCUGAUAAAAACUUGAAUAAUUUACCACUAUGUGGAAAAAAUAGGGUCUUAUACAAUGAUGUCAAGGAAGAAAUCGUAAGAGAAACUGAAAAAUAUCUCGAGAUAAAUAAAAAACAAAAAAUCAUUGAAUAUAGCAAAAUCAGUGCUACAUCAGUGCUGCAAAAUCAGUGCUACACAAGAAAAAGAGAGAAAAGUUUCAAGCCAUUAAACUUUCACCCUACGGUGCAUAAAAACCAUACUUAAACUAUGCUCAAACAAAG